UAUUAUUUGAUUAUUUUUCUCUCCAUCGUUCUAAUUUAUCAUUUACUAUUUUUUUACAAUAAAUGAGCCUGCAAUAUUUAAACUGGAAAUUCUUGUUUAUUUCAAAAAAUGAAGAGCAGACGAUAUUUAGAAAAAAAAUCAGCAAACGGCAACAAAACGUGAGGGCACACUAUAACCUCUCAUCUUUGAUGAGCUGUGAGCAGGGUUGAGAGAUGGAAAAAGAUAACAGCCUUAAAGGGCUUUGUUGUACUUUUUUCCAUACUUGGACCACUUUGUUGGUGCCAUUGUUUUCUCAAAUUUACAUGUUUUAUUUAUGUCCAUUUAAAUGUCAUCUCUUGGAUUACAACGUCACGCGCCUGCAAUUUGAAUGAGAUUUUUCUCCAAUGAGGGGAGAGGGGAAGGAGAGGCUGAAUGUUUUGACGAAAUACGUCACAGAAUUGAUAUUACUUCAUUGAUUGGCAAUUAGUUGUAAUCUGAAAAUGUCAAUCAAUGCAUGCGUUUAAAACGGUGACCAUAAAUCUAAAGAAAGGAAGUUGCUUGUCAAAUUUUCCUAACAAGCAACAAAUAUUUUUUAAAUAAGCUAAAAAAAAACGCAACCCACGACUCAUGAUUUUUUUUAACGCGAUGGCAACUAUGGCUCUACGUCUAAGCUGAGCUCCAUGUGUAAAAACUAUUCCGCCUAAAACAUGGACUCUCCCGAUCACCCCUAUCCUUUGAAGCGAAAUGGACUGUACCAAAGUUUGUGAUGCGGUUUUCAGGUAACCGAGCGGAUAAAAGGUGAACGUUAGGACAGAGUUCAGUUGUGCUAAAGUUUAGAGAAGAAACGGGUGGAUCGAACUUUCAAAGUGUACAUUGUUUGCAUAUGUGUGCGUGCAUCAUAAUAACCACACACAAGGUUUAUGCAUCAAUAAACAAGAUUUAGAAAUCACUGGAUUGAGACAUUGUUGUCAUUACAAGCAACUUGUAGCCUUCAGCCUAUAGAAAAGAAGAAAUUCUUCACCAUGAUUUCGAGGGGCUCACCACUCAUAGCAAUAUCCGCAACCCCUCAUCAGUCUCCAGAUCACUCUCAAGGUCUUGCUCCUGAAUCCCAUCCGGAAUAUCAGGGUCGUCACCGAAAUCUCCCCCAAAAGCGGUGUUUGUUUGGGAAUACAAAUAUUGCACACCAAUGAGUUCAUCUGUAGACAUUCAAAAUGUGAUGAGCACAGGGGUGAAAUGCAGGUGUCACAGCUACUACACAAGUUUCAUGUGUGCUGCACGACGAACAUGUUACCCGUGUAUUCGCCAGUGCUGGUGUAGUCCUCCACCAAAUUAAGGCCCAUAAACUGCUGGCUCAGGGUGUUGGCGUACCGCUACAGAUGAACACCGAACAUGACAUCCUUUUUGCUCCCACCUUCAACCUCAGCAACCGCAUGAGCCUCAUUCCACUGUACAAGCCAUUUCAGCAAGAACAUCUGAAAAUGAAGGUCAUUUGCACUUGUUCCUAUAAAAGCAGGCAGAAAGAAAUUGGCACCAAGGAAACCACGUGACAAAAUAACUCACUUUGUUUACGAAAAAAUGGAUACCUGGCACAAAGCGGUUCAAGUGCAAGUGAAAGGACUCCAAGGAUGUCGAGCCACGUGCAUAGCGAUACUGGGGUAGAAUGAUGCCCCCUUUUGUCACCUGCCCUAUCUUUCUGUACAGCUGCACGCGUGGUGGGUCCUGGAUACAGUUGAUGUGCAGCUGCUGUGUCCGUAUCUCGUUCAUCCUGUCGUUGUCUAAGAGCCUUACUCCCUUUGUGUCCGUUGCCUACAUGAAGUCCUUUAGGAGCUGUUCGAUCAGCUCCUUAGUCUCCGGUGCCCCACGAGUGCGGCGGCGACAGUGUGCAUGACCACCAGCAGGUCCCACUCGCUAAACAUUGCUGUCGCCUUGCCUUUACCUCCUGAGGCGCAGCAGUCCUGGUCCACGUAAAGUAUUUGAGGAGGAGCUUCUCCAGCUCGACGGUAGCGAUCCACAAAUCCGGAACACAUGGGCAGCAGGCCGUUUCCCUCUCUUUCUGUGAGGAUACACAUGAGGACUUGUCCAAUUUCGUUCCACACAUCUGUCGCCCACGAAGCGGUGCCAGCAACUUCACCAGCUAGCUUCUUGGUGAUCUAAAGCACACGAUAAGAAAUAUUACUAUUAUCAUGCAAGGAACAUUUUUAUUUUUUUAUAAUUAUAAUAACUAAAUGUGACACUAAAUGAGGUGUUGGCUUUUUGGUGGAAUCCAUCUUCAAGAUGGAACCAUAGACAGAGCUGACACGGGCCUAAGCUCAGAAAGCCGUGUCAGUACGUCUUUAGCGUACACGGACAGCAGCCAAGAAGGACCAGGCACGGGCCCCAUCUGUGGCAGUGGGGCAACGAGACUGCUGGGAUCAGUUUCCUGGUUCACAAACGUCUUCAGCACAGACAGAUACAUUGCUGACUGGCUCAGCCAAUGCUCUUUGUGUCUGAUGCACAGGUGCCUGUACAGAGCUGUGGCACUGUUCCCUAGCGUACACCCCCGCAGCAAUCUCACAACCUCUCUGCUCAGCGGAACCCAAACAAUCUUCUCUGUAUGCAAAAGAUCCAGAACAAUCUUGAGUCACUGCCCCAGCACCUGUAUUUAAUUAAAUAUGGAAGAUCCGGUGGUGUCCCCUGUGUCUGCAAAGUUAUUCUGUCUAUUUUUAAUGGAGAGGAUGAAGAAUGAUUUAGGAAAACCUGUAGCAGUGGGGACCUUUUGCAACGGCAGAGAAAGCCAAAAGAAUUGCCAAAUUCUGUAAACCUUACUGGCCUCCUGUUAUCUCUGCCAAGCAAAGUUUUUGGAGAUCAAGCCUUCAAAAAGUCUGCAGCCUCAGAGAAAAAAACAAAAAGGGGAAAAAAUUAAGAAAAUCUCAAUGGCCUGAUGUGCUGAGACAUCCAGCUAAACCAGGUUUACCCCAAACUGCUUCACAACCCUCUGUGGAUGGGGAAGUCUGUAAACGGGUGCCAGGGGCCACUGCAUGGAGGCGAAAGAAAAGAGCCGAAGAAGACCGAAGGGCCUUGCAGUAUGGUAAGAAGCCAGCAAGAUGCAGAGAUCCCAAGGGAUUAACAUGUCAUGUGUGGUCAGCCGAAAAGAUUAGAGUUCGGACAGUUUUUACAAGGGAAAGAGUUUCUGUGCCACUGCAGUAUGUAGAAGUGUUUCUGAAUGACUCUCUGAGCAGAAGAGGGUUCAUGGUACAGACAUUGGUCAGGAUGUUCCUCGACUGCCUGGCGAAGAAGACAAAGAACAGGUGCAGCAGAAAGCUAUUGAGGAAGGCAAUACAAUCAGGAACAGAAAGGUUUCCAAAAUUUUUACAUGUCAACUUUGCCUUCAGCCUAAGACAAAAUAAUGUGGACAUUCUCAGUACAAGAGUAAAAGGUUUUGCUCGACAUAUGAUGGUAAAACAGUAGAGCUGUGGCUGGCCGAGCAGCGGGCUGUUGACCCCGUCCUUAAAAGAUAAUUCUGUGUGUGUCACGGAACACAAAGUACUCAAAAGCAGGAAGCCGUUGAAGAGAGUUUAUCCUGCACAAAAACAAAGCUGCUUGUUAACUCCAAACACGGCAGAAACAACAAAAAAUAGUCCAGAGAUCCCAGGAACCGAAAGCCAGAGGGAUAAUGCUGUAAAGAAGUGGGCAGAGAGGAACAACCUUAACAAGCAACAGUCCCAGAAGUUCAACUCUGCCAACGGCCACACCACAAACAUGUAUCCGGUAAUUCAAGGGUUAGCUAGUAAAUACUGGAAGCACAUGCAAAAAUCAUAAAAUACCCCAUAAAUCCACUGUACAAGUGGGCAAAUAGACCAUGUUCUUCAAUAUGAAUGCAUUAUGCAUGCUAUAUACACUAAAACAAGAGCAUAAGAGCAAAAAAUUGCAAAAAAAAUAACUUUCUAUGUAAAAAUAGUUUACUAUGUGUAUAUAUUCACAAUAAAUUAAUUUACAUUGGAGGAGGAGGAUUUCCUUAAUUUCUCAUCUCUUUAAUCCAGUCUUCCCCUCUGUGGUGGCACAGAAGAAUGUCCCUCCAAUCCUGGCGUGCCCAAACUCUCUUCUGCAUGGUUGCCCACACUGACGGCCCUGUAGUGUUUGCGGGCCUGUUCACAAGCCAAACUCUCUGCUGCCUUCCUUUUUCUCCAAAGUGUUGACCUGCUCAAGGCUUUAAGGGGAGAUUCCCCUGCAGCAGAGAGGGGCGCAGCUGCAGGGUGAGGUGGGCAUUGUCCCUGCCAAGUGGCCUGAUUUGACUUGUCCGGGUUCACAACAAAGUGGUAGAGUCGAAUAGCUGUUUCAGCCCCUAAUGUCCCUGAAGGCUUCUGACUGGCCACUGGAAGAGGGGUGUGAGACAUCAUGCUCAUCUGAGGUAGGGGCAAACUCAGUGACAAGACAUUUGGCUCUAUCUUCUUCCUGUAGUCGUUGUACCUAUUUAAAAUUGUACAAUUAGAAGAAUUGCAAAAAAUCUGGAAAUUGGUUUGGUGAAAGAAACUACUUACUAAAGCAAUUAGCUCAGUGACACUGUGGUUAUAGACAGUGAUGUUAUAACAGCUAAGGGUGCGUUUUAAUAACUCCACAAUCUGACAUAAAAUCACUGUAAAGCAAGACUUCUUGUGACUCAUUGUUUUUAUAAAAUAGUUAUUCCGUAGAUGUUGCGAGGUUUAAAAAAAUAAAACAAAGCAAAUAAAAAUGUAGUGAUAUUAAUAAAAAUAUAGUUGAUCUUCCAAACAUUUCCUUUGAAACAGAACAAACGUUUUAUAAUGAGAAGUGGGAUAACUGAAAGAAAAUACAUACCAAACAGAAAGUGUCCGUUGAUUGACCUCGAACAGCUGAAUUCGGGUCUUUCCCUUCAGUGUAGGGCAGUUCCCCACCAGCCUCCUGAUGGCCUGGUAGUCGUAGAGAAUGGCUGACCACCGGUUCAUAGUAACGCCCCACUUUAUCCUACCUGCUGGAUUUAUGGAGCACAGCUCCAGACAUACAGCCUCUACAAUUCUGCUUAUUGUAGGCCAUUGUGCAGAUCCUGAUCCUUGCCCCAGGACACACCUGUAAAAUAAGGAAAGGAUUUAUUAAGUGUUAUUUGUUUAGCAUUAUCACAGCUUUAGGUGCAAAUGUUUAACUUACCGCUUAAGGCUCUCUUUUCUGUGGCAGGAUUUGUUUUUCGAGUGUGAGGCUUUAAACCUGCCCUACAAAAGCUUGUCCUUGUGCCUGGGUGGAUAGGAAACCCCCUGUUUGUCACUGUCUGGGAGUCUGUCCCACAGCACGAUAAUAACAGUGGCUUCCCUAUCCGAGAGACGGGUUGUUUUUCCUGAGCUCGACCAGGUACCUCGCCAGCUCCACCACCCUUUCAUACUCUGGAGCCCCAUCCGGUCCUCUUCACACCUACAAGAAGAAAGAACAUUCCAAAAUUAAUUAUGAAACACUAAAGCAAAGUAGUCAAAGAAUACAAAUCAGGAUAUGCUAAAUAUAAAAUAAAUGUUCUUUUAUUAUUAGCUUUACUUGUCUGUAUUAAUUCUGCUACAUUGGUAUGCUUUUAUUCAUAGCUGAGGCCACCAAGACAGCAUCCGUUGGCUCCUCAUCUUUGGCAAAAAAAUAAAAAUGUAAAUCAUAAAGAAGUUCAAACAUUUGAACUAGGCUAGAAUUACAAUAAAAAACGUACCACGUGCUGUGACUGGGUGGGAAUGUCUGCUUUGUGUGGGAGAAGCUCGGUGUGAAGGAUGCCGAACAUGUUGGGAAGAUAAUGCAGAUGGCAUAGGUGUCAUGAUUCAGCUAUCAUGUCAUGUUUAUUCUUGAUUCUUGAAUGAGCAGGCGUAUUGGAGAAAGGCAUCCUUUUUCUCCAUGAGGGCCCCUCUGUUCAGUCUCCAAGCCUCACGCUCCCACUGAUGCGCAGAUAGGACCAUGAGGAUGUAAACAAGGUAAUUUUCAAGAAGCCACUUGAAGGUUUUCCCCCUGUACUGCCCAAAUUGAAUGGCACUCUGACUCGCUAACACCAAUUGAUCAAAGGGAUCCCCUCCAGCGUCAACAACUCUGACCUUGGCCUCCCCCAGCACAGCUUCAGAGUCCUUUGGAACAAACGACACUCCUUUAGCCACUUGGGCCAUGUGGAGUUUCUCCAUGACGGAUGCUUUCUUUGAUUCCAUCAGCACCAGGUCUCCAGCUUCAUUGCGCAGGUUAGCACAAUCAAAAACGGGGAUUAUUGCUUUUAUAAAACGGUAAAGACAUAAAGUUUCAUGAGAUUAGUUUGAGAACACCAAAUUGGUGUUCAAUAGAAACAGAAAAUUCUAUGAGAUAUUGAUACGGUUUUAAAGUAAGAAAAGCACUUACCUGUUAUCUGACACACUUCGUCGAAAGCCAAUGAAACGAUAGCAGUUUCUAAUACCCCGCACUUGAAACAAUUCGUCGGGGGCCAAUCAGCAGGAGAGACAAUUCGAGCAGUUCACUCGACGAUUGGUUUCACUUUAUUUGUUGAACAUAACAUAAAAUUCUCACCUUUUAAAUACAAGUUAAGCAGAUAAUUUAUAUUGUUUAAGUAAUAAUUAAAAUCCUCUAUUUAAAAACUAAAUCAAAUUUGCAUUUUAUAAUAAUUCUGUAAGACUAUUUGAUGGGUUCAACAUAAUGUGUGAUCCUCUGGUGCCUAAACUGAAAGUUGUCUAUUAAGGUCUUGAACACCCUCGUCGUUCUUUUCAGUAUAUUUUUUAUUUUACAAAAGGACUUUUUUAUAAUAGUGGUUUAAAGUAUUUUCAUUGUGAAAUCAUUUCUUUUGGCAACCUAAAUCAGGAAAACCUGUUUGAGCUUCUUAACCUGUUUGAAAACCUCAGAUAAAAUAUCUGCGUAAAGAUUCGAAUUUCAUAAAAUAUUUGUAAAUAACACUUCAAAGUGCGAGUGGCGCCGUCAAUGCUGCCAGGACCUGCCCCUGGUGCGACUGCAAUUACUGACCUUUGUUUGGAGGCAGCGAACUUUUUGAUAUGUUUGAAAACGUUUCAGUGGAAGAUCCCUUCACUGUCAUUUUGUCUAUUUCAUCAUCAUUACCGCAUGCAGGCUGAUGUGCGUCUGAGCUCUUGUGUACAUAUACAACGUUCAUUUAUUUGUACGUAUUGUAUUUAUUUAUCACGUGUCCACGCAUGCGUUAUUCUUUCUUCAGUCAUUUAGAGCAGCAGAUUCCACAGUGUGCAAGAAAAUGCUUGUUAUGCUAUAUUAAACUCAUACACGUUCAUGCAAUGUAAUUGUUGUUUUAAAAAUGAGUGUGUGUUGGAAUGCAUUGUUAAAAUUUGAAAAUCACUUAUUUAUGCUAUUUUGCCAGAGCUAAUUCACAUUGUUUUCCUUUGUUUUUGGAAAACCCAUGUUUCUACGUUGAAAAAUGAAAGGCUAAAUUACUGCGCACGAGGGGAACGUGCACAUAAUGACACUACAAUAUUUUUUUACGAUCUUUGUAGUCAUUCUAACCUUGAAUUAUAACGGCUGCCAUUAUAAAAUAAAACCUGAAAUAUAAAUGUAUUAUUUUCAGAUUUGUAAAUGGUACAUUUGUUUAAUCUGUUUGUUCUUGCACUUCAAUUAAAAUGGAUUUGACUUGA